rnacentral:rRNA from 1 species
GACGAACGCUGGCGGCGUGCUUAACACAUGCAAGUCGAGCGGUAAGGCCCUUUCGGGGGUACACGAGCGGCGAACGGGUGAGUAACACGUGGGUGACCUGCCCUCAGCUCUGGGAUAAGCCUGGGAAACCGGGUCUAAUACUGGAUAUGACUCCAUGACGCAUGUUGUGGGGUGGAAAGCCUUGUGCGGCUGAGGAUGGGCCCGCGGCCUAUCAGCUUGUUGGUGGGGUGAGGCCUACCAAGGCGACGACGGGUAGCCGGCCUGAGAGGGCGACCGGCCACACUGGGACUGAGACACGGCCCAGACUCCUACGGGAGGCAGCAGUGGGGAAUCUUGCGCAAUGGGCGAAAGCCUGACGCAGCGACGCCGCGUGAGGGAUGACGCC